rnacentral:tRNA from 1 species
CAAAAUAUAGCUUAUCAAGCGUCUUGCUUACACCAAGAAGAUGUUCACUAACCUGAACUAUUUUGAUG